rnacentral:rRNA from 1 species
AGUGAACGCUGGCGGUAGGCCUAACACAUGCAAGUCGAACGGCAGCACAGUAAGAGCUUGCUCUUACGGGUGGCGAGUGGCGGACGGGUGAGGUAUACAUCGGAAUCUACUUUUUCGUGGGGGAUAACGUAGGGAAACUUACGCUAAUACCGCAUACGACCUACGGGUGAAAGCAGGGGAUCUUCGGACCUUGCGCGAUUGAAUGAGCCGAUGUCGGAUUAGCUAGUUGGCGGGGUAAAGGCCCACCAAGGCGACGAUCCGUAGCUGGUCUGAGAGGAUGAUCGGCCACACUGGAACUGAGACACGGUCCAGACUCCUACGGGAGGCAGCAGUGGGGAAUAUUGGACAAUGGGCGCAAGCCUGAUCCAGCCAUACCGCGUGGGUGAAGAAGGCCUUCGGGUUGUAAAGCCCUUUUGUUGGGAAAGAAAAUCAGCAGGUUAAUACCCCGCUGUUCUGACGGUACCCAAAGAAUAAGCACCGGCUAACUUCGUG